GUCGGCCGAGUCCCGGACGCUACUGCGCAUGUGCGGGCUUUCUCACUACUCCCGGAAGCGGUCUUCAGCGCUGCUUCAUUCGUCCGGAGCAGCGCUGAAGUAAGGGUGUAGGCGGUGCUGCGGGCAGGCGGCAGUUACAACACAGUGGCAGUUGAAGGCAGUAACCCCGCCUUUGCCAGUUAAGUGCUAAUUUUAAAACACAGAAAAAGACCUGUAACGAGCAAAUGGCGCAGCGGAUCCGGGCAAGCUCAUUCUAAACUGCGUUUACGUCAGCCUCUGCUUCUCCCAGUCUCUUGCAGGAGGGAGAGUGAGCAGGAAGUGAGACAGACUGGAUCACAAGCAGCAGCUAAAAGAACUUUCCAGAUGAUUGUGCCCCAGUGUACAAAAAGAAAGGUCCACAACUGCAUGGUUUGAGAAGAUUGGUGUGGAAGAACAGGAAUGUCCCAUAUAAUGUCCUGACCUCAACCCCAUUCAACGCUUUUGGGAGAUUGCAAGCCAGGCCCUGUCAUCCAACAUCUUUCUGCUCACAAGCCAUGGAGCACCAAGCUCUUAUCGAUGCCACAUUCCUUACCUAUAAUUCAUACUAAUUUCCUGUUUCUUCCAUGCUGUAUAAUCAGAUUGCCCUGAGAAAACCUGCCCCAAAAGUAUCUUGCAACCACUGCACUCCAUUAAUAUAAUAUGCCCAUAAACAUCUCCUCCAGAUGCAUCCUUCUAAUAGUAAUCACAUUACUAAU